UAAUUGAAGAGUUUGAUCAUGGCUCAGAUUGAACGCUGGCGGCAGGCCUAACACAUGCAAGUCGAGCGGCAGCA
rnacentral:rRNA from 2 species